rnacentral:rRNA from 1 species
AGAGUUUGAUCCUGGCUCAGAACGAACGCUGGCGGCAGGCUUAACACAUGCAAGUCGAACGAAGUCUUCGGACUUAGUGGCGCACGGGUGAGUAACGCGUGGGAACAUACCUUUUGGUGGGGGAUAACGUCGGGAAACUGACGCUAAUACCGCAUAAGCCCUUUGGGGGAAAGAUUUAUCGCCGAAAGAUUGGCCCGCGUCUGAUUAGCUAGUUGGUGGGGUAAAGGCUUACCAAGGCGACGAUCAGUAGCUGGUCUGAGAGGAUGACCAGCCACACUGGGACUGAGACACGGCCCAGACUCCUACGGGAGGCAGCAGUGGGGAAUAUUGGACAAUGGGCGCAAGCCUGAUCCAGCCAUGCCGCGUGAAUGAUGAAGGCCUUAGGG